AUGUUAUCACCUCCGUUAAUCACGGUUAAAAAUCCAUGGCCUAAUGUUGAUGCUCACAGUGGAGUGCUGCUGAACUACUAUGGUCUAACUGAGGAAAAUAUUGGAGUUGGCCCUCAGUUGAUAUGGGACAGGGCUCUUGGAAUGCCACUUGAAAGGCCAAAAAGUGCCACACUGGAAAAACUCGAGAUGUUGGCUGGUGCAUCAUCAUGA